CACUCCUGCGGGAGGCAGCAGUGGGGAAUUUUGGACAAUGGGCGAAAGCCUGAUCCAGCAAUGCCGCGUGCAGGAUGAAGGCCUUCGGGUUGUAAACUGCUUUUGUACGGAACGAAAAAGCUCCUUCUAAUACAGGGGGCCCAUGACGGUACCGUAAGAAUAAGCACCGGCUAACUACGUGCCAGCAGCCGCGGUAAUACGUAGGGUGCGAGCGUUAAUCGGAAUUACUGGGCGUAAAGCGUGCGCAGGCGGUUAUGUAAGACAGAUGUGAAAUCCCCGGGCUCAACCUGGGAACUGCAUUUGUGACUGCAUGGCUAGAGUACGGUAGAGGGGGAUGGAAUUCCGCGUGUAGCAGUGAAAUGCGUAGAUAUGCGGAGGAACACCGAUGGCGAAGGCAAUCCCCUGGACCUGUACUGACGCUCAUGCACGAAAGCGUGGGGAGCAAACAGGAUUAGAAACCCGGGUAGUCCCAUGA
rnacentral:rRNA from 1 species